CUGCAAGUCGAGGGGCAGCACAGGUAGCAAUACUGGGUGGCGACCGGCAAACGGGUGCGGAACACGUACGCAACCUUCCUUCAAGCGGGGAAUAGCCCAGAGAAAUUUGGAUUAAUACCCCAUAAGAAUGUGACCUGGCAUCAGGUAGCAUUUAAAGAUUUAUCACUUGGAGAUGGGCGUGCGUCUGAUUAGGUAGUUGGUGAGGUAACGGCUCACCAAGCCGACGAUCAGUAACUGGCGUGAGAGCGCGACCAGUCACACGGGCACUGAGACACGGGCCCGACUCCUACGGGAGGCAGCAGUAAGGAAUAUUGGUCAAUGGACGCAAGUCUGAACCAGCCAUGCCGCGUGGAGGAUGAAGGCCCUCUGGGUUGUAAACUUCUUUUAUUUGGGACGAAACACUUUCUUUCUAGAGAGCUUGACGGUACCAGAUGAAUAAGCACCGGCUAACUCCGUGCCAGCAGCCGCGGUAAUACGGAGGGUGCAAGCGUUAUCCGGAUUCACUGGGUUUAAAGGGUGCGUAGGCGGACAUGUAAGUCCGUGGUGAAAUCUCUAAGCUUAACUUGGAAACUGCCAUGGAUACUAUAUGUCUUGAAUGUUGUGGAGGUUAGCGGAAUAUGUCAUGUAGCGGUGAAAUGCAUAGAUAUGACAUAGAACACCAAUUGCGAAGGCAGCUGGCUACACAAAUAUUGACGCUGAGGCACGAAAGCGUGGGGAUCAAACAGGAUUAGAUACCCUGGUAGUCCACGCCCUAAACGAUGAUUACUCGACAUACGCGAUACACAGUGUGUGUCUGAGCGAAAGCAUUAAGUAAUCCACCUGGGAAGUACGACCGCAAGGUG
rnacentral:rRNA from 1 species